UACAGAGGUCUCAAGCGUUGUUCGGAUUCAUUGGGCGUAAAGGGUGUGUAGGUGGCGCGCUAAGUCGGGUGUGAAAUUUCGGAGCUUAACUCCGAAACUGCAUUCGAUACUGCGGUGCUUGAGGACUGGAGAGGAGACUGGAAUUCAUGGUGUAGCAGUGAAAUGUGUAGAGAUCAUGAGGAAGACCAGUGGCGAAGGCGGGUCUCUGGACAGUUCCUGACACUGAGGCACGAAGGCCAGGGGAGCAAACGGG
rnacentral:rRNA from 1 species